GUUUUCCAUGGCGUUAACCCAGUCCCUGGUACUUGGUGUUCAUGGGGAUACUGGGACGGCUGCAGUCUGAAAUUAAGUGCGAGGAAGGGAGUGAAGAGAUCUUGUGAGAGCCAACUGCUUGUUUAAUGUGGUUGGGGGCAGGGGCUGUUGGCUAAAGUCCUGAAACCUGGAGCAGAGGGAAGACCCUAGCCUAAGAGUAUUAAUGAGAGCUGGAUGGAGACUUGAGGCUCCCAGUGGAAAAGAAACUGAGGUCUUGAGGCCUGGGUUUGUAUCAAAGAGUCUGAACUGAUGCUCCUUGUUUCUGCUCCUGAAGAAUUUAGAGUUUGGGGGGAAAACCUUUCAAGUGUUAACAGCUGAUGGAUAUAAUCUCCAAGACAGAAGAUUAAAAAGGUGAUGACAGAGACUCCAUUAAAGAAAAAACUGAAAAUAGUCAUCUUUCAAGGUUAACAAGGAGCUGCUUAGAAGCCCCAGCAUGAUUGUCAAUAGCCAAUCCAAGGAAGCUGUCAGCAGCUCCCCUGAGGAAGGGCUUCAGCUAAUGCAGAGAGUAAGGCUGGGGAGCCCACAUGUGGGGAAGAACCAGCUGUUUGGCCUCCCAGGUGGGACCCCAAAGCUGAAGGCAAAGGGGUUGGGGUUUGCCAUUCCCCCAAGCAGAAUGGACCAGAAUGGGCCCCAUGGGACAUCUACAAUCAGGGAAAACUUGCUACAAUCUGGGACUCAUUCAGUGAAAUCCACUGCCCUUUCCCCAUGAGAGGGGUUCUCAGUCAAAUUUCUCCUGUGGUCCCUUUUCUCCCCUAGUGAUCUGGUUUUUCAUAAGACUUUUUUUUUUCCUCAACUACUGCAAGGUUGACUCAAAUGGAUAUUAUAAUUCCAGUUUGGGAUCAGAUUUAUAAACACAAGCUUCAGUUUCCUUAUUUAUAAAAUGAUAGAGUGGGCAAAUCCAAAAGGAAAACACCAAUCACUCAGCCCAACAAGAACAUGAUCAGGAAUUUUUUUGGAGAGUCAUUUGAGACUAAUGAAAAUUAAAAAGCUUUUCCUUGGGGCUCCUCCAUAAUCUUUCAUCUUCGAAUUCAGGGUAGGAAGAAAAGGAGAAGAGGAGCAAGGACAUCGUGUCAAUUGACAGCAGAGAGAGCAGACCCUCUCAGUUCCUUUUAUUUCCACCUUCUCUUCUUCCACAGAGACUAAUCUAGGUCUGGGAAGGGUAGGAUAAACUCAAGUAGAAACAGCCUGAAAGGUACAAUGGGCGAGGAGACAGUAAAAGAGUUCAAGUCUUCAAGCCUAGAAAAAAUGCCUCCCAGACAGGAGGGGCUGGGGAAACUACAAGCUGUAAUCUUAGAGAAAUAGUCUAAAGGAAGAGGUGCCAAGUGACUGGCAAUAAGCACAUUUGUCCCAAUUUUCAAAGCGAGGGGAAAGCUGCAUGCUGGAAACCAUAAGCGGCUGAGCUUCAUAACCAACUCCUCACAAAUUUCUAGAUUGCAGGAUUAAAGAGAAGAUUGGGAACAGUUAGUAAGGAAAACAAGAAGCUUCAGGCGCUGGCCUGGGGCCAUUAACACAAAGUCAUUCCAGGGAUGGUUGUUCUGAUAGUAUGUCAAGUUGGGACAAACAUGCAGGAUGCUUUUUAAAGUGUCUUUACUAAAGAUUGUAUUUAAAAUACUAUUCAUUCAUUAAUAAACUUCUACUAGAAUGUAAGCUUCUUGUGGGCAGGGAUUUUUUUUUGUGGGGUGGGAGGAUCCUGUUUUGUUCAUUCCUACACCUAAAACCAAUGCUUGGAGUAUAGAAGGUACUCAAUAAAUAUUUUUUAAUAACUCAAUUUAUGUGCAUAAUAAAAUACUGGAAAGAGACAUAGCAACAGUUAAUUGAGAUUAUCCCUGGGUGGUUAGAGCUUGGUUGGUUUUAAUUUUCUUCUGAAUACUAGAUUUUUUUUUCUCUCUAUUUUCCAUAUUUUCUAUAAUAAGCCUAGGUUGCUUUUGUA